UACGUAGGGUGCGAGCGUUAAUCGGAAUUACUGGGCGUAAAGCGCGCGCAGGCGGUUUUUCAAGUCAGUGGUGAAAGCCCGGAGCUCAACUCCGGAACUGCCAUUGAAACUGUAAAACUUGAGGACGAGAGAGGUGAGUGGAAUUCCCAGUGUAGAGGUGAAAUUCGUAGAUAUUGGGAAGAACACCGGUGGCGAAGGCGGCUCACUGGCUCGUAUCUGACGCUCAGGCGCGACAGCGUGGGGAUCAAACAGG
rnacentral:rRNA from 1 species